GGGGAAUUUUCCGCAAUNGGCGCAAGCCUGACGGAGCAACGCCGCGUGAGGGAGGAAGGCCUGUGGGUUGUAAACCUCUUUUCUCAAGGAAGAACACAAUGACGGUACUUGAGGAAUCAGCAUCGGCUAACUCCGUGCCAGCAGCCGCGGUAAGACGGAGGAUGCAAGCGUUAUNNGGAAUUAUUGGGCGUAAAGCGUCCGUAGGUGGUUAUAAAAGUCUGUUGUUAAAGCCCACAGCUCAACUGUGGAUCGGCAAUGGAAACUGUAUGACUUGAGUGUGGUAGGGGUAGAGGGAAUUCCUAGUGUAGCGGUGAAAUGCGUAGAUAUUAGGAAGAACACCAGUGGCGAAGGCGCUCUACUGGGCCAUAACUGACACUGAUGGACGAAAGCUAGGGGAGCGAAAGGGAUUAGAUACCCCUGUAGUC
rnacentral:rRNA from 1 species